GAUGAAGAACGUAGCGAAAUGCGAUAAGUAAUGAGAAUUGCAGAAUUCAGUGAAUCAUCGAAUCUUUGAACGCACAUUGCGCCCGCCAGUAUUCUGGCGGGCAUGCCUGUUCGAGCGUCAUUUCAACCAUCAAGCCCCAGGCUUGUGUUGGGGACCUGCGGCUGCCGCAGGCCCUGAAAACCAGUGGCGGGCUCGCUGUCACACCGGGCGUAGUAGAUUUUAUCUCGCUCAGGGCGUGCUGCGGGUUCCGGCCGUUAAAAAGCCUUUUUUACCCAAGGUUGACCUCGGAUCAGGUAGGAAGACCCGCUGAACUUAAGCAUAUCAAUAAGCGGAGGA
rnacentral:misc_RNA from 1 species